UCCAGAGAGGCACAAAGGACUGCAACAUGGUGGGGCCUGGCCCAGGCCUCCCAGGCAUGAGCAAGCAGCUGCAUGGUACUUAGACACCAGCUGAGGUUAAAUCACAACAACUUCAUCACUUGAAAUUAGAGGAUAACAUUACAAAAAACACUAAUAAGUCUUCCCUUGAAAUCUUCACAUCAUGAUGAAUAUAUGUAAUUUAUCUGGAACAAACUGAAUCUCAUAAGCUCUUUCAGACCUGCUGUCACCUGGACACAUCUGCAACGGUUGAAGUGUGCGAAAAGAAAAAGCAACUCUUUACCUAGUGGCAGGCACAAGCUAAACCAGUACAUGAACCCUUAGUUUUGGGUGGCAUUAGCAGAACAGGACUUUAAUAUUCAGCUGCCACUUGUGGCUCAGGGAGAAAAGUGUGUGAAUGUCACCUAAGAGGCAGCAAGGUCUCCCUCAGGCUCUCUCUACAAAGAACAGACAGCACAAGUAAGAACUAGAGAUACAGUAAACUGAAUUCACCAGCCCAAGAUGCAGAAAAGAUCCUUCUUUACUGUCAGAAAAGGUCAGCUGCAGAGUAAAAGCUCUGCUGCUAUGCUAGCCUUGAUGGGCUUUCCUACUUGCUGGUUUGGGAUCAGAAGUUCAAACUCAUUUUUCUCCAUCUGACUUUGGCUCAGAACUGGCAUUCUUAAAUAACACCCCACUGAUAGCAUAAAAAUAGAGUAUUACAAAAGUCAUUAUGACUUUCCUCUUGCGCCUAGCAUUUUUGGUCAAAGUAAAAAACCUGAAAUUUAACAUUUUACUGACAGAUUACCUUUUUUGAGAUCCCUAAGCUAAUCUCAAAUGAGCUCUAAUGUUCAUAUGGUUCUGUGCAAUUUAGCUCAGAGUCAAGCAGCAUGACAAUUACAUUCAUAAAAAGAAAUCCCCCGAAGAGAUAAGUUAAUUAACAGUUAAUUAUGCCGGUGCGAUGUGUGCUACGGUGAUUCUAUCAUUUCCAUUCCCAGAGACUCAUCAUUUUAAAACUGCAGAUAUGUCAGUAUCAGUUACAGAUGGCCUCCCAAAGCCAACCUGCAUAGGAGUGCUCUGCUCUGCCACUCUGCUAAGGAAAAUGAAAUAAGCAGCCACUGCCAUCACACAACUAGUAAAAUUAUUUUGCCUAAUGAUCUUGCAAGACAAUCUAGGCAGUGCCAACAGCUGCAGAAACAUCUUAGCAUAUCUCACAGAAACAUAAACGCUCCAUUUUAUAGGCCUCUUACAUCCUCUCCUCUCUCAGUAUCACCCACUUCAGUUUAAUCCCAUUAUACAUCAUAAAGCACAUCAUACCAUCUGGGGAAAAAGAAGCUGCUUUCUACAAAACAAAUCAAUCCUCCACUUGUAGAAGUCAAAGUAAUUAUUAUCUUGAAAUAAACCUGAAAUAUUUCCUAGAGAACGAAACUGCUGUAACUUGAGCACUGGGAGAUGUAGGAAAUACAGACUCGAGCCCUAGCACAUGUAAUGGAUGACCUGUUUGCUGCUGUGUUCUCUCAGUAGUUUUACAUCAGUAUUAUAUAAUUUAUGCAUGGUUUAUUACAUAAUUUAUGCAUUGUUUGAUCACAAGGUGUUGGUGACUAACAUGUAUACCCAGUUGACUGCCAUAGCUAUAAGCAUAGAACUAUCGUCUUUGUUGAUCGCCUCUGAGAUGGUGCUGGAGGAUUUUACCUUUAAGAUCUUACAAGGUUUGAAUACUGUCAUGGUUUGAAUUUUUUUUCCCAAAAUUCAAAGGAAAAAGGCAGGGUGAGAAGAUGAAAUCUCACUGGCUGCACUGCUGGUGACCAAGAUGUUACUUGGAUACAUGAUGCUGCAGCACUUUCAAGAAAUCAUCCUCUGACUGAAGACCAGCUGGCUUAAUUUCUACCGAAUCAGGAUAGCAAAAUUACCUAAGUGACAAUCUCAGUCUUCCUGCUCAUAUGUGAAACAGAUCUUCCAGUUCUGCAGGACUGAACAAUAACUGAUUUAAUUAAUGGCACUGAUGACAAAUUCUUACUUUCCAUUUUGUACUCUUCCUCCUUUUUUUUUUUAAAUGAUCUAUUCAGAAUAAUGUGGUAAUUUAAGUUUUCCAAAUGAGGUGACGUUUAGAUACGUAAAAUGUAGCAAAGUAUCUGAAAUGCUUUGUUCACAAGGAACUUCUGUGUCUCAUUAUGGCUUUAGGAGCUGAACUUUAGUUUUGCUAAUAUAGAAUCCUCGGGCAGCACACAUGUAAUGUCUUAUUUCUGGAGCACUCAUGAAAGGGCUGCUGGAAAAAAACCCCAGAGGCUUCACAUUAAGCAAAACACAACAUUUCAGAAGGUCUUAUGACCCACACUCUGACCUAAAGAAGAAGGAAACUGACUUGGUCAGAGCUUCUAAUCAGAAUUUUGUCGUCUUUCCAUUCUUGUUUAGUCCCAUAACAUAUGCAAAGCUGUGCUUAGGGUGGUCUUUUUUUUUUUUUUUCUGAGAUCAUAGGAUCUACAGCAUGGGCUGCUAGUUUUGCAACUAGUAUUCUUUAAGUCAGGGUGGGGUUUUCUUUUGUCUUUUUUUUUUUUUUUUAAAUGGAAUUCCAUUUUUGAAGGAGCAGAGAGCAGAAAGAGACUACAAUAAUUAACAUGAAAAGUUGUACUUACCACAUGGUAAUAUAAAAGCAGGAAGAAUAAUUUAAUGGCAAUACCAAAAAUGGCCUUAUCAGGGAACUCAUAAAUUAAUAAAACCACAUCUGCUUUAGAAAAUUUAUCAGAUGCUCAAGUCCAGCAAUGACUUUGCUAGAAAAAUGUUUACUACAUUUUAUGAAUAUAAAAAUAUUCCAACCAGCCCAGUGCUUAAACUAGCUAACAAAGCUAUUCAGUUUGCAUGAAAAUAUUAAUAAAGAGCUUUGUGUGAAUCUUAGCUCUUUUUACUUCUGGCAGCUUUGUCACUAAAGAGGUUGCAUCACUUCCCUUCUGCACACAUGUCUACUUUUCAACCUUUGUGGCCUAAGGAUUUACACCUUCUAAGUGGGAUUAGCUAACACAUACAAGUCUGGUCACUAUUUAUCGUGCUAAGAAUAUUCUAGCUAAGACAAAUGCAUUGAAAUGGACAGUGUAAUUAAUUCAUAUAAAACAAGUGUACAACCUAGUUUCUCCAUAAGGCUUACAAAUUACCUAUAAAGCCUUUUAAGUGUAUCUGCUUACAGCAGUGGACUCUGAAAAAUCUGUAAUAAUACUUGCCAUACUGUGGUAGAGACAGUGGUUUAAACAUGUUUUGCAGCUCCAAAACAUGUCUGGUUUUAGUGGGGUUUCAUUAUGUUAGAAAGAGAUAAAUGAAGCAAAAAAACCCAAACCAAAACCCAGAAACUUCAGGUAUCUUGGAUAUCAUGGUUUUCUGUGUAACUUUAAAUAUAUUCAAAAUACAGAGCAUACUUGUUGAGCCAUAUAAGAAUAGCAAAGCUUUGGCUGUGUAUCUCAUACAAUAUGUAAAAAUUCAGGAUGAUGCAAGAGCUCUUCUGGGAAGGGAUGGCAGUAUCACAUAACAGGAGAAAAAUGCUCAUCAGAAACAUCAAACGCCUUCACACCCCUGCAUUUUCUGUGUAAGGAUCAUUUAUUAAGUUAAAUAGUUGCAAAGAACUGAAGUAAUUUCUUCGUAUCUCCCCCUGUAUAUUUAGGGGCUGUUGACACCACCAGUUAAAAUAUAACAAUCUGUCUGUAAAACCUGUAAUAUUUGAAUGGAAAGCAUUUAAGUGUCAAUGUGUGGUGAAGGGGAAAGG